AUGUCAGCCAGAGACAUUAACUCCCGCGUUGUUGUGCAUGCUUAAGUGUUCUCAUUAACUACCAUGCCAGCUCUAAACUUAUUCAAGAAAAAAAAAAGAUCUCAGCAUGACACUCAUUCUGACUAUAGGAAGUCCCAUGAACUGUGUUUAAAAAUUCAGCAGAAACUGUCCUCAUCACAUACAUGAAGUUCUUUUGACAAAUGCCUAAGGCCUUGAAUUUUAGGAGCCACUUUAUGAUGGUUUUCAGGGGAUCUAUGAAAUCAAAAAAAGAUGUGAUAUGGUUUGGCUCUGUGUCCCCACCCAAAUCUCAUCUCCAAUUGUAAUCCCCACGUGGGAUGACGUGGGAGGGACCUAGUGGGAGGUGCAUGGAUCAUCGGGGUGGUUUCCCCCAUGCCGUCUUGUGGCAGUGAAGAAGUUCUCACGAGAUCUGAUGGUUUUAAAAGCAGCAGUUUUCCCUGCGCCCUCUCUCUCCUGUCAUCAUGUAAGAUGUGCCUUGCUUUCCCUUCACCUUCUGCAAUGAUUGUAAGUUUCCUGAGGCCUCCCCAGACGUGCAGAACUGUGAGUCAAUCAAAACCUCUCUUGUUUAUAAAUUACCCAGUCUCAAGUAGUAUCAUUAUAGCAGUGUGAGAAUGGACAAAUACAAAAUGCCACUACAGGUGGCAUUGUCUGAGAAUAUUGGGCUUUUUUGGUUAACAACACCAGGCAGUCACUGGCAGUCCUUGUUAGAUUUCACACAAAUAAUAAACUCUUUCAACAUUUACUUGAAAUGCUUACUUCUGAAGCUGAUGAGCAAGCCAAUGGCAAAAUAGGCAAUGUUAUAAAACAGUUUUGGACUUUGAAAAUACCAGCUCAGUAACUGCAUGUGUUAGCCACACACCCUAGUCCACCAUCAUAUACAACCCAUGUUGCCCAGUGAAGUGGAAGUCGCAACAGUGAGGACUGUAAUAUGCAGCACAAUGUAUUCAAGGGCACAUAACAAGGCUAUUCAGAGGUUCCAUCAUCAGCAGUAAAUGUAGAGUUGUCUCUCUUUUGGAUUUGCUCUACAAAAUUCAUCUUAGGUGUCUCUGCUUUUGUUCAUGUGCUUUAAGUACAUCUAUGUCAAGGCCCUCUUAAAGACCAGCCAGGGGAGAUUUCCCUCUUUCUUUGGGUCUGAAGUAGUCUGCAAAUUUCCACAUAGCAUGAGAUAUGAUGGGAUUCCUGAUGUUAAGGGAGAAGGAAAGCCUUGGAUUCCGUGGUCCAAAAGGAUUGAAUGAUUUACCAGGCCCUGAUGAUUUUCCACAGUAAGCUCAUGCAGCACCCCUUUUAGACUGCAAGGAUUCCUCACUACUUAACUUGAUGAAAUGUAUAUAAUCUGCAGUGAACUACUAGAACUGAAAUCAUUUACCAUGAGUACUCAUGGCUUUAGGUCCAAGGCAGUGAAAGGGCAUUGGAGAAGGACUUGGGCACGGCUGGGA
rnacentral:lncRNA from 10 species